ACGCUCAAAUUAACAUAGAUAAACUGAAAAUAUCUUAUUGAAUUGGAAAUCAAAGUUAUAGAAUCAUCGUUUCGCCCAAAGAUCCAUCACAAGUCUAAAAAGUAAAUUAGUUAAUAACGAAUGAAUUAAAAACUGAAUAAUUUGUUGAAAACAUCCUUCCAAUUACAAAUAGAUGAAAGAGAAGAAGAAUUAUGGAAAACCCCUUCACGUAGCCUCGAUUUGCAACCGUCGUGACAAUCUCUGAAAAUUAUUACUCCAACGUUCGCUCUUCAAUCCUUGAAAUCGCUCUUGAAUUAUGCCUUUAUGUGUUGUAAGAUUAUUGUUUUUCUACGUAAUCGCAAGCUCUCCUUCUGGUCUGGCCGAAUUCUCCUUUUAUUAGAGUCCAAACGCAUCAUUCCAAUCCAACAAAUCGAACUCUAGCAGAAGUUGAAACUAAACAGGACAGUUCAAAAUCGAGACCCCCGCCCCGGCGGGGGGUACAAGCACAAUAAAGCCCGGCCCGACGGGCUAGGCUACUGACUUCAAGUUUUUCUUACUCCAACUUUUUUCCACUUUUGCUCCAAAAAGACCGUCUUUCCUCACCAAUAGCAUCCAUGAUCACCCUACACAUAAAAUAACAUGAAACUAGUAAAAACGAACACAAAACAUGAAAAUAACUAUGAAUUUAAACUUGAAAUGAAUAUCGAUUCGUGUAUAUAAAAUCCACUUAUAAGAUACAAUCAAGUUUUGCAUCAACUCAUUUAGUUACCAACAAUUUCAAGGUCAAUGUAUGAUUUGAGCAUGAGCAUGAGCAAGAUCAAGGUCUUCGGCCAUUGGUCCUGCUGCAAGUAUGAAGAGAUUUGUAGAAUUAUUUGAGCUUAGAAAUCGGCAGUGUCUCGGUGAUGGCAAGGUGAUUUUGGACUAUUUUUGUUGUUGCUGUGUAAAGGGCUACUGGUGCUGUCUUUUGGAUCAAAGAAAUAUCACCAAUAAAAUCUUUUUUGCCUUUUGCUAAAAAACAUAGGGCUACUAGUGCUGCUGGGGUGCCUCGUUUGAACUAGUUUCAAACUGGGAUUGUAUAUUUGUAUUAACUGGCCUCAUACUUAAUCCAUCAAAAAUAAAUAAGUUGAUAAAUAAAGCUUGGGACUGGGGUCAUAUAUUUAUACGCUUAUUACUUCUGUGCUCCUCUCUUGGUGGCUUUGCUGUGGACCUUUCAGUACAAUCUUGGAUUAAUAAAGGCCCAAUCUGGUCCAGUGAUUCUGAAGCAAGUUAGACAACAGUUUCGGCCGACAAUGUCCUGACCUUCCUUACAAAC
rnacentral:lncRNA from 1 species